GUGCUUGCUUCCACAGCACACAUACUAAAAUUGGAACCAUACAGAGGUCAUCAUGGCCCCUGCCUAAGGAUGAAAUGCAAAUUAGUGAGGCAGUCCAUAUUCUU